AGAAUGGGUCACCUCCUGGGACAAGUUGGAGAAGAGGGUCCAUGUGCUCAACACCACGACCCUGAGGAUGGACAAGCUGACCCUGGAGGACAGUGGGUGGUACCGGGCUCGAUCCUCCUUCACCGCGGGAUAGAAAAUGACCAGGAAUUCCACCUCAGUGUGUACGAGCUUGUGUCCCGCCCCCAGAUCCUGGCGGAGAAUCUGUCCCUCACCCCAGACUGGUGCAAUGUCACCCUGGAGUGCCACCCCACGGGAACCACGGGGGCCGUGAACGUGUCCUGGGAGAGCAAGGGCCUCCCCAGGGAGCUGGAGCAGACGGGGGCCCCGGGCCCGGCCCCCACCCCCUGGACCCUGGCUCUGCACCUGCCCCUGAGCCGGCCCAGCCCCAGCGUCACCUGUGUGGUCAGCAACCUGGUGGACCAGAAAAGUGCCACCCGGGACCUCGGGGAGGUCUGUGUCCACGGUGCAGGAUCCCAGAAGAAGCAUAGGACCCUUUAUGGUGGCGUCUCUCAUGCUGGGCUGGUGUCCCGAGAUGGCAGGGACAAGGGAUUGAAGGAACCACAUGUAGGACAGGAGACACCUCUCACUACCGUCUACACUGAGGUCUGCUCGCCAGGCCAGGUCGUGUCGAAGACUUAAUCAGAAGAAGCACGGAAUCCAGCCUCUGGGGGUACCUGUGCUGUGAGUGUGAGGCCUGCAGCCCUGGUCCUGCCCCGCCCCCUCUGACUGCCCUGACCAGGGGUGGAUUUAGCAACAUCGAAUUCUCAGCCUCAGCUCCUUGGCCACCUUAAAUGGCCCGAACUAUUCUUAGUUAUGAAUGACAUCCGUCUGCCUGUGAGAACCCGCAGACUCUGGGACAAAGUCAUCAUGAACUCGCAGCACACAGCCCUGACUAGUGUGACAUCGCCCCGCUGUCAGUGUGCACGUUCUCCCUCCCUCUUCCUCAGAGUUUCUUUGAUCAUUCCACUUUGGCGUCCACACUGCCUGCAGCCAGUGUGUCCGAAAUCUUCCCUCUCUGUGCAUGACCUCCUACUGAACCCCGCGUCCUACCCCGGUGCAC